GCGUCUCCCCAUCCCGCUGCCAGGUCAGUGACUGGUGGGAGGAGUUUGUGUACCUGCGCUCCCGAAAUCCGCUGAUGGUGAACAGCAACUAUUACAUGAUGGACUUCCUGUAUGUCACACCCACGCCUCUGCAGGCAGCUCGCGCUGGGAAUGCCGUCCAUGCCCUCCUCCUGUACCGCCACCGCCUGAACCGUCAAGAGAUACCCCCAGUAAGAGGGCCCCAGUGGGCUGGGGAUGGAGGUGUGGUCCUGUGGCCUUUGCGCCACGUGGGUCCUGGAAGGCAGCUCACAGCCCACGGUUUCCUCAGACUUUGCUGAUGGGAAUGCGCCCCUUAUGCUCUGCCCAGUACGAGAAGAUCUUCAACACCACGCGGAUUCCAGGGGUCCAAAAAGACUACAUCCGCCACCUCCAUGACAGCCAACACGUGGCUGUCUUCCACCGGGGCCGAUUCUUCCGCAUGGGGACCCACUCCCGAAACAGCCUGCUUUCCCCGAGGGCCCUCGAGCAGCAGUUUCAGAGAAUCCUGGAUGAUCCCUCACCGGCCUGCCCCCACGAGG
rnacentral:sRNA from 1 species